UUGUGUUUGAUACCCUGAGAAGCC
rnacentral:piRNA from 1 species